rnacentral:rRNA from 1 species
UACGUAGGGAGCAAGCGUUGUCCGGAAUCAUUGGCGUAAAGCGCGCGUAGGUGGCCUCAUAAGUCCGUUGUGAAAGUCAAAGGCUCAACCUUUGAAAGCCGAUGGAUACUGUGAGACUAGAGUACGGAAGAGGCGAGUGGAAUUCCUGGUGUAGCGGUGGAAUGCGCAGAUAUCAGGAGGAACACCAAUAGCGAAGGCAGCUCGCUGGGACGUUACUGACACUGAGGCGCGAAAGCGUGGGGAGCGAACAGG